UAGAUGAGGCAAAUGGAAGCCUCAUGGAAACAAAACCAAAAGGCUGAGAGAUUUGUUGCUGGCUCAAAUUAGUCUGAACCAGAACGUAACUGGUGAAUUAGUCGCUCAGUAGAGCAGAGAAAAUUAGUUUGUUAAUUUGGAUGUAUCUGAACAGACGAUUCAUAGAAUUCUUGGCCUGGUUUUAUGGUAAGCGUAUGCAGAGUUAAUUAAUUGUUGUCGUUUAUCGAAGAAGUGAGCUCACGAUCUCUGUGAGAGAAGGCUUAAAGCAACGACUUUGCACAGUCAAAACUUGCAAACGCAAAACGGCUUUAUGAUCUUUAGCGGAGUUAUCGAAUGCCAGCUGAUUCGCAAGAUUACAAUUUGAGAAUCUGAAAGGCUGAAAAUGGAACAAUUAAACCGAAAAGCAACGCGAAAAUGCGUGUAAAAUGGCGGGAGCCGUGUCUUGCCGCUGAAGGCAGGCCAAUUUGAAUCUUGGAGCUAAUCGGCACCCAGGAGCUCUGCUCCCUGCAGGGUGCCUCGGUGGCAGCAUGCCGUGUUGAGUGGUCACCGUAACAAGAGAUCGAUGGGUAAAGUUGAAGUCUUGUUGGACAGAGGGGUCUGUAGCUGUGCCUUUGCUCUGUUCCUGUGUUAAACGGCGACACCUAUUGAUUCGCUUAAUGGAUCUGAUGAGUUAGAGCGAAGUUCACAAAGAAACCCAAGGGACGUGGACGGUAGCCAAAUCUGCAAACCUCCCUACGCACCUACACGUGGGGAAGGUCGGUUCGUGCUCCUCAGCUGAGAGCGUGCUGAGCGGGAGCCGGCUGACUGGUGGGAGGGAAUGCCGGAGAGCGGGGCUGAGAGCGUCCGAAAUCUUGCAGCAUUGAGAGUCUUUGGCCCCUGAGGCUGGGCUGGAGCCUGGUGCCUUUUGGAGAACACAUUGAGAUGUAUAACCUGGAUCAUCCCUCUCUUCCAAGUGGGGACUCGAGUCGCUCUUUUGUUGAAAACCAGAUGAAUCUCCAUGCUAAAGAAUAUGUCACGUUUACGUGACCUCAACGUAGUUAAAAUUUUGCGCAGCAGAGGGAAAACCUGAUUAGUUUCUUCUUUGUGCAGACGUAUCUGUGUUUGUAACGCUGAACUCGGAAGCAUCUCUCUUCUCGACAGCAGUGAAAUUGAUCUCGCUAUUUGAUUUAUAUGAGACUUUCUUGUUUACCGUGGAAAGCCGUAUGUAGAAGCGGAAAAACGGCUUCCUGCAGGCAUUUACCAAGACAUAGGAAGAUGUAAGGGAAGUUGACGUGCGAGGAGACAAAGCAGCACACACGCACGGACUAAAUCCGCAUUCUUCUGCCCAAUUUUUUUUUUUUUGGACUCCUUUGACCCCUCUCAGGUACAUUCUUAUCCUCUUUGCCUUACGUCUUGCCUCAGCGUUGCAGCCAACCUGCCCUGCCAGGCCUUUCGUGCCUGCUUUUCGGGCAGGAAGACAGGAACGUUGUAAAACGUUUAAUGGCAGAGCCCCAGCUGCGCCGCCCCACAUCCACCAUGGCAUUUCAGGGCACAGCAGGGUUUGGCACGCGGUCAGCGGCCCCUGGAGUUUGCGAUGGCCACGGCUGCCGUCUGCGCAGUGGAGAGGAGAUGGCACACCACCUUCCUGUUUCAAACAGAAGCUCUUACUUGGCCCAUUUGUUCCCUCCCAUUAAGUCUUCAUGCGGCAGUUGUGGAUUCAUUGCUUUUUUCAUUUGCUCUUUUCAACUGGAUCUCAAUAAAACUCCGCUCUGCAGAGUUUCAGCCUUCCCCUUUGCUGUCCCUCUUACCUGUAGGUACAUGGCUUAAUUCUUAAAGAUCUAAUAUACACUUCCUUUCUCACCUGCCCAAUUCCCCUGUGGGAAGAAUGACUCGGACGCCGCGGGCCACGUGCUGAUCAGCUGAAUUUCGAUGUCUCCUGUAUGGAAGGAAGAUUCAUUUUCAUCCCUCUAUUGCAGGCUUCUUGCACUGUCCUCUGAAUCACCUGCUACUCGUUUGGAGAAACUCCUGCUCUUUAUAUUCCCGAUGGCUGCACCGCUGUCUCAACAGCGUCUUAUGUUCGCCUUCAUGCUCUCAUGGUACCUCUGCUGUCUUCCAUCUACUAGCUGGGCAAGGGGCAUCAUGUGCUCUGGUCGUUUCCAACUGUGUUGACUGCUCAGUGUGCGUGAGUGUUUACAUAUAUUUUGAAACACUUAGAAAUACGAUUAGCUUGGAGACCUCUCUCUGUCCAAUCUGUUGGCUCAAUUGUUUCAUAAGUUAUUGUUGGUUUGGGAGCUGGUGGCAAGGAGUAAUAGGCAAAGAAAUGACAUUGCGUUGCAUGAUUUGUGCCUCAUUUCCACAGGGUUAGCAAUGAAACUACUCUCGGGUAUACAUCUACAAAGAUGCGUAGGCACACGAGCUUACAAUAUUUACCUGGUCUUUGAUCUCAUAUUAAAUUUACAUAGAAAGGGAGCUUUGGAGGUCACAUAGUCCAACCCAGGACUAGUUUUAAAGUUAGGGCAGGUUGUUCAGGGACUUGCCCAGCUGAGUUUUGAAUACGUCCAAGAAUAUCCCCCAGCUCUGCUGAACAGUCUGUUCCAAUGCGUAACUGCUGUCGCUGUAAAUAUAUAUUUUUUAUUUUUUUUUUAUUACGGCUAGUCAGAAUUUUCCUUGCUGCAGCGUGUGCCCAUUUGUCUUAAUCUCUGCUUUUAAAUUUCUUUUGCUCCAGAAUCAGUGAUUACAUCUGUCUUCUGUUAACGGGGACAAUUUUUGAGCACCGUUUAUGGGAUUAGGCAUAUCCGCAAUGCACAGCCUCGGUGGAAAGCCUAGGACAUGACAUCUUCACGUGGGUCCCACCAGAUGCUUCUGUAUCAAAGCCGAUGUGCGCUAAACAGCUAGAGACUGAGUAGGCUCACCGGUCCUGCCGUUCAGAUUAAAGAAGUGGUUAUAGCUACUCCUUCGCUUCUCUUCCUGGAUCUCUUUCCUAGGAAGCCAACACAGAGGAACAGGCUUUCACACUGAUGUCAUGUGGGACUAGGACACAGCUGGAUCCGGGGGCAAUCAGUAGAGGGGAGGAGCAGGGACCAACAGAGUCUGGCAGCUGCGUGGUGACCCAACUCGUGAGCUUGAAGUCCCAGCCCUUUCUCUAGCGUGUUGAAGAGCAGCGAGAGGCAGAGCUUUACGAGGAGACUGAGGUAGGGGAGGAGAUACUGAAAUGCUCCCAGGCCAGUGGCAGAAGGGAGCUGGAAUCCUCUUGUCGCCCUUCUGGGGGCAACGUGUUACCCUUAGGAAAGGGGGAGGAAAUUCUUCUGGAGAGGAAAGGAAAGAGCAGGAGUUGAAAAAGGUGGUAAGAGAAAGUGGUUACAAAAAGUGGUAACGGUUAAAGGAUGAGAGAAUGAGAACAGGAUUCUACAAAGCACAGGCAGAGUGGAGAAAGGAAGACAAAGGGGGAGAGAAAGUCACUAAAUAUUCAAAAGCAUGCAAAAACUAUCAAGAGCAGGAGAGCAAACUCUAACUUUGGGUUCUUUAUUAUGCUAUUAAAAUAAAAAUGUACAAACACUUCAUCGUCUGUAAGCAAACGCUCUGAAAAAAAUGGCUUGUUUCUGGUGAAAAGCAAAACAAUAAAACGGUUUUCCUUAAAAAAUGAGUAAGCAGAUAGAUUUGAUUAAGGAAAACGAAAUCCAUACAACAGAAGUAGGGAAUGCAGCUGUAAAACUGGGGUGAGAUCCAUAAGGUAUCAUCUUGUGCUCACAUUUGCACGCUCUGUCUCUCUUGCUCUCACCUUGGGCCCUUCGGGUUGGGUUAUGAUGCCAUAGUCUUUACAUAAAUCCCUUUAAAUGCUAGCUUUGACUUGUCUUCAAGGCAUUUUUGACUCCGGGCUUUCUGAAACAGAAUGAAUUCCGGCAAAAUUUUGAAAGAGACUCACACUAGCUAACUCUGGAUUUUGAACCAGGGAAAACUUAACGCUAAAGCAAAAGGAAUCAAUCAAUCCCAUUUCUCCAGUCUCCCCCCUGCUGCUGCGGGGGGACCUAAUUCAGGAUUUUGUAUACGAGCUUGCAACUGCUUAGAGGAAGAAAAAGUAGCUCAUGCUUUUUACUGGAAGAAAUUAAUGCUGGCUUUCUUAGCUGUCACAGUUUUAUGGAUGCCACAUAAAGGUGUGAGUAAUAUUGUAAUAACGGCGCAGCAGGAGAAGGUGGCGCGUAGUAAGGUGGUGACAAUUUCAUGUGUAUUCCGAAAAUGUUCUUACUGUAAGAAGGGGAAAAGAAGGGGAAAAAAAGCUGGUUGUCUGGGGUUUUUUUACCCCCACAUCAAAGUGUCUGACGUCUUCAAAAAGGUCUGGCCGAGUCUUUGUUUCUCUUUGUGUGAACAAAGGUGUCAAAUGCAAAAAUGUCAAUAAGUUCUUUCUGUUGCCUCAUAUUGGCUGACUAAUAAGCCAAGCUUCAGUAAGCAUUAUUAAUGAAUAGAGAGAAAUGACUUCCUGCUUGGUGUGUAUCCAAAGCGGAUCGCAAAUAAUGCCGCACGUUUUCUCUUAUUUUCUCCCCUUGAAUUUCAUUAAAUGACUUUUCACAAAGUUGUGCAGAUGCCUGUAAUGAAACCGAACGCAAAUGACGCAAAUUGCUAAUCACCAUAACGCGGGAUGCUAAUCUGGAUGGUGACUCUAUAAAGGGAAGUAACCAACAUACGGCUCUAAAUGGUACACACUGUGCCCUAAUUUUAAUAUUUAUUUUUUUUUAAUUCGAGGGUAUUUCUUGAGCUGUCUGUUUAAACCUGACUGUACCAAGCAAGUUCCUAGGGUAGCUGCAAAAGAGCUACUUGCUGUUUUUCUCUUCUGUAGGUUCCCCCCAACUCCGUGUUACGCCGUGCACAGCUCUCUUGCUGUUGGCGUGCUGUUGGCAAUUCCUGCCUGAGUCGUAAUGAAUAAUCCAAAAUUAAAUUCCGGAUAAAGAAAUCUGUUUAUUCGGGCUGUGGGUAAAGGCAGCCGUUGCGGUGGUUCGUUUUAGACAGACACUGUAGGCAAUUUAUUUUGGAAUUUGCUGGCUGGCAUAGAACAGGCGUAAAAGGAUGAGGAUGGAAGAGGUCUUGGGGAAUCUGCAGGAUUUACCGGUGCUGCUCUGAAAGGAUGUCACGCGAACUCCCAGCGUUUCAUAGAGAAGCGAGCAGCCUGACCGGCUGUCUGCUUCCUUACAGCUGCUGUGAAAAGUGCAGGCUCUCCCUCGUGCAGGCUUUGUGUAGAAACUCCUUCAGUUUUGCAAAAAACGAACGUUGACUUCAGUCCUGCACUUCUGGUUGUGUAUGUUUCUUUGGUUCUUAAUCAACAAAACCUUAUCUAUGUGUUGUUUUUCUUUACCCUGGCUUUUCUAUUCUGGUGCAUAAUUCGGCAUUCAUAUUCUGGGGCAUAAUUUUGAGGAAAGAUGAUCCAGAAGUUGUUUAUUGAAGUAAAGCCACUGAAGAGAGCACGUUCUGUUACACUUGCUGACUUACUGGAAAUGUCAUCCCAGCUGGUGUGAAAAGUCCUGUGGCUUCAACACCCUCUUGCUAUUUUAGAUGCUUGCUGUAUCCUGCGCCUUUCAAAGCAGAAAAGAAGAGACUCUCAGAUCUGCGGCAGGUCUCUGUUUUUCAAAUGGCUUAAAA